rnacentral:snRNA from 1 species
GUGCUGGCUUCGGCAGCACAGGUACUAAAAUUGGAGCAAUACAGAGAAGAUUAGCAUGGCCCCUUGCACAAGGAUGACACGCAAAUUCGUGAAGUGCUCCAUAUUUUG